rnacentral:lncRNA from 1 species
UUUUUUUUUUUUUUUUUUUUUUUUGAGACGGAGUCUCUCACUGUCACCCACUCUGGAGUGCAGUGGUGUGAUCUCGGCUCACUGCAACCUCUGCCUCCUGGGUUCAAGCAAUUCUCAUGCCUCAGCUUCCAGAGUAGCUGGGAUUACAUGCAUGCACCACUAUACUCAGUGAAUUUUUUUUUUUUUUUUUUUUUUUUUAGUAGACGGGCCGGGGCAGGAGAAUUGCUUGAACCCAAGAGACAAGAGGCUGCAGUGAGCCAAGAUCACGACAAUGCACUCCAGCCUGGGUGACAGCGCAAAACCCUGUCUCAAAAAUACAUACAUACAUACAUACAUACAUACAUACAUACUUAAAUGAGAAGUAACACAGUUGUUUUCGAUGGAAAAGUACUGGAAAAGCAGAUUAAAAGCAUAGAAUAACCUUACAGUCAUUAAACCAUCCAGUGAAAGAGAAAUGAACAGAGCCAUGUCCUAGCAUAGGGAUGAAACUAGAAAACAAAGAAUAGAAAUGCAAAACACACACGCAUGCACACACACGCGCACACACACACAAUCAGGUCUCUAACAAGUUCGGUUUGUAAUAAGAGAAAUUGUCAGAGAAAUAUGCCCACAAAAAUGUAUCCGUAAGUAUGUUAAAUGUAUUAUGUUCAGAUUUAAUAAAAACCUAAGUCCUAAUGUUUAAAAGGAAAAAAUUUAAUAAAAAAAUAAAGGAAAUGUUUCAAAACGAUCAUGGUCCAAAUGAAAGAUUUCUAUGCAUUCCCAUCUAAAGAGAGGAAAAUAUUCUUGGUAAGAGCCACCUAAAAAUGUCAUCAAUAUCCGUACACACUAGAAAGAAACAUAGCAAUAAUCCAAGUGGUUCUGCAUAUGCUUUCAUUGUGCCAUGCUUUUUUUCUUUCAAAUAUUUGAAAAUGAAUACCUAUGGCCUUUUAUAAUUUUUUUAAUACAAAGUAUAUUGGAGGAAAAGAAAAUGAUUCUCUUUGUAACCCUAAGUCAUAGACAUAUAUGUUUGAACUUAUUACUUCCUUUAAAAUAUUGACUGAAGGCCCUCAGAGAAUAUGAAAGAAAUACCAAGAAAUAAAAGAGAAAGCAUCAUACAUUCAGGUAGUGGACAUCAAUUUUACAUAACACAGUGACCUACAUUAAAAAUAAUAGCUUUAAAAAAGAAUAAUUUUUAAAUCAUAAAACUAUUUUAAUGUAAUUGUUUCACUUUAAUUAAGGAGGAAAAGAAUG